rnacentral:rRNA from 1 species
CCUACGGGUGGCAGCAGUGGGGAAUAUUGCACAAUGGGGGAAACCCUGAUGCAGCGACGCCGCGUGAAGGAAGAAGGAUUUCGGUAUGUAAACUUCUAUUAGCAGGGAAGAAAAUGACGGUACCUGACUAAGAAGCCCCGGCUAACUACGUGCCAGCAGCUGCGGUAAUACGUAGGGGGCAAGCGUGAGCCGGAUUUACUGGGUGUAAAGGGAGUGUAGGCGGUGUGGCAAGUCAGAAGUGAAAGCCCGGGGCUCAACUCCGGGACUGCAUUUGAAACUGUGUUGCUAGAUUGCAGGAGAGGUCAGUGGAAGUCCUAGUGUAGCGGUGAAAUGCGUAGAUAUUAGGAAGAACACCAGUGGCGAAGGCGGCUUACUGGACUGUAAAUGACGCUGAGGCUCGAAAGCGUGGGGAGCAAACAGGAUUAGAUACCCCAGUAGUC